GUUUGUCCACCAGAUCAGCAGGGAUUUGGGUGGGCUGUAAAAUCAAAGCAGUACUGAUAAGGACUUUGAUAGUGACAGAUGAUAUCCCUGUAGAUCUCCACCAGCGCCAGGGCAAUGAAGAGGACAAAGUGACUAGAGGAGGCAAACUUUGCCGCCCAGAUGGUUUCCCAGACUGCAAACACGUCAUCGUACACCAGCUCUGAAAGACAAAGCACAAAAGAGCGGGAUCGAACCACCACAUCAGUGUUUCCGGGCUCGGAUGGGACACAAACAUGUAGGAAGUUGAGUCAUCAGUUGAGAGAGAUGAGAGCUGAGGCGGUGUUGUUGCCGAGGUCCGGCCAGAGAGUCAAAGUGUGGGUAGAGGCUCUCCAUCUCCGGCUCCUCAGACAGGAUGGACUCGGUGCCCUCUGGACUGGGC